CCAGACUCCUACGGGAGGCAGCAGUGGGGGAUAUUGCACAAUGGGGGGAACCCUGAUGCAGCGACGCCGCGUGGGUGAAGAAGUAUUUCGGUAUGUAAAGCCCUAUCGGCAGGGAAGAAAUUGGACGGUACCUGACUAAGAAGCCCUGGCUAACUACGUGCCAGCAGCCGCGGUAAUACGUAGGGGGCAAGCGUUAUCCGGAUUCACUGGGUGUAAAGGGAGCGUAGACGGCCAUGCAAGCCUGGAGUGAAAGCCCGGGGCUCAACUCCGGGACUGCUUUUGAAACUGUGUAACUGGAGUGCAGGAGAGGUAAGCGGAAUUCCUAGUGUAGCGGUGAAAUGCGUAGAUAUUAGGAGGAACACCAGUGGCGAAGGCGGCCUGCUGGGCUUUUACUGACGCUGAGGCUCGAAAGUGUGGGGAGCAAACAGGAUUAGAUACCCUAGUA
rnacentral:rRNA from 1 species